UACGUAGGGCGCAAGCGUUGUCCGGAAUUAUUGGGCGUAAAGAGCUCGUAGGCGGUUUGUCACGUCGGAUGUGAAAGCCCGGGGCUUAACCCCGGUCUGCAUUCGAUACGGGCAGACUAGAGUGUGGUAGGGGAGAUCGGAAUUCCUGGUGUAGCGGUGAAAUGCGCAGAUAUCAGGAGGAACACCGGUGGCGAAGGCGGAUCUCUGGGCCAUUACUGACGCUGAGGAGCGAAAGCGUGGGGAGCGAACAGGA
rnacentral:rRNA from 1 species